rnacentral:rRNA from 1 species
UACGUAGGGUCCGAGCGUUUGUCCGGAAUUAUUGGGCGUAAAGGGCUCGUAGGCGGUCUGUUGCGUCGGGAGUGAAAACUUACAGCUUAACUGUGAGCGUGCUUUCGAUACGGGCAGACUUGAGGCAUUCAGGGGAGAACGGAAUUCCUGGUGUAGCGGUGAAAUGCGCAGAUAUCAGGAGGAACACCGGUGGCGAAGGCGGGACUCUGGGCCGAUACUGACGCUGAGGAGCGAAAGCGUGGGGAGCAAACAGG